GAUAGCUUCUUGUAGAAAGCAAAGGUCCUUUCCCUUGGGGUAAUAUAAUACUGGUAGCUACCAUUGCCUUGAUGGUAGAGACCAAAGGAGCUUAUGACCUGAAGGGAUAAAAAUGGUCCCCUAAGAACUGCCAGAAAACCCAAGGUAUUGCUUUAUCUGGGUCUUUUUUUUUCUUCUUUCUUGUCAAACCCACAAAUAUUUAGGGGGAUUUAAUUUUCAUUUCUCAGAUUUUCUCAUGUUUUCUUUAUCCUAAUGUUGUUUGGUGAAAGUGGUUUGAUGCCUGUGACAGUUCCCAAGACAUUUUUUUAGGUUUUUCUUAGAAGCAGGAAGUUACAGUGUGCCAAACGCCAAAGAAGCCAGCUUCUAACGAUGAAGAAUACAAGAGUUGCUUGUGGCUAAUAAGAGGUUAACAGCCAGUCUAUAUCAGAAGUGGGACCUGAACCCAAAUCUUCCUGAUCCUGAAGCCUGCUCUCUAUUUAGUAAUGUCAUCCAGCUUGUCAGGUCAAGAACAGAUCCAAGGCACUCUACUAUAUAGAUCUCCUUCCAGGCUGAUUCAGUCUGUCCAUUAAUUCCUACUCCUUGGAUCCAGUGAUUCAACCACUUCUGAAUUCAUCUGCUUAUACUAUUGGGCAGCCUCCAUCUCCCCACCUUGUCUACAAGAAUAUCAAGACACUUUGUCAUAUGCUUUGCUGAAAUCCAGCAUCUGAAGACCAGAGCUGUGCAAAUGGUAGACACUCCAUCCAUUGAACAGAUUGAAAUUAAAUUGGAAGCUUUUUUUAGCCCAGAGGGAUGAACCACCCAUAAUCUGAACUCAAGACAACGAAGCAGAAAUCUUUAGGGGCAAGAAGUCCUUUUGGCAGUGCUACUCCUAUUACCCAAAGUCAACUAUCUAUUGGAGCCAGCUCUAAUUGACUUAUGUAUGGGUGAAGAUGGUCCCAUUUGGAGUCCUCUAGUCUUUGUUUUUAAUGUGAAUCCCUUUUAAAGCAAUCUUUUGCCUUUAUAAAGGUAGCAGAACAUAACAAUGAGAAAAUAAAAUCAGGGAAAAAACAUUUUUAUUUGUUUCC
rnacentral:lncRNA from 1 species